rnacentral:tRNA from 1 species
GCCUGAGUAGCUCAGUUGGUAGAGCAACGGUUUUGUAAACCGUAGGUCACCGGUUCGAGCCCGGUCUCAGGCU